AACGAACGCUGGCGGCAGGCUUAACACAUGCAAGUCGAACGGGUGUAGCAAUACAUCAGUGGCAGACGGGUGAGUAACACGUGGGAACCUUCCUAGGGGUACGGAACAACUCAGGGAAACUUGAGCUAAUACCGUAUACGUCCGUAAGGAGAAAGAUUCAUCGCCCCUAGACGGGCCCGCGUCGGAUUAGGUAGUUGGUGGGGUAACGGCCUACCAAGCCUACGAUCCGUAGCUGAUCUGAGAGGACGACCAGCCACACUGGGACUGAGACACGGCCCAGACUCCUACGGGAGGGCAGCAGUAGGGGAAUCUUGCGCAAUGGGCGAAAGCCUGACGCAGCAACGCCGCGUGGGGGAUGACGGCC
rnacentral:rRNA from 1 species